UAGGGAAUCUUCCACAAUGGACGCAAGUCUGAUGGAGCAACGCCGCGUGAGUGAAGAAGGUUUUCGGAUCGUAAAGCUCUGUUGUUGGUGAAGAAGGAUAGAGGCAGUAACUGGUCUUUAUUUGACGGUAAUCAACCAGAAAGUCACGGCUAACUACGUGCCAGCAGCCGCGGUAAUACGUAGGUGGCAAGCGUUGUCCGGAUUUAUUGGGCGUAAAGCGAGCGCAGGCGGAAUGAUAAGUCUGAUGUGAAAGCCCACGGCUCAACCGUGGAAAUGCAUCGGAAACUGUCAUUCUUGAGUGCAGAAGAGGAGGGUGGAAUUCCAUGUGUAGCGGUGGAAUGCGUAGAUAUAUGGAAGAACACCAGUGGCGAAGGCGGCUCUCUGGUCUGCAACUGACGCUGAGGCUCGAAAGCAUGGGUAGCGAACAGG
rnacentral:rRNA from 1 species